CCCUUAGAUGUCCUGGGCCGCACGCGCGCUACACUGACAUGUUCAACAAGCCUCCUAGUUCGACAGGAUUUGGGAAAUCUUUGAACGCAUGUCGUGAUAGGGAUAGAUCAUUGCAAUUAUUGAUCUUGAACGAGGAAUCCCUAGUAAACGCGAGUCAUCAGCUCGCAUUGAUUACGCCCCUGCCCUUUGUACACACCGCCCGUCGCACCUACCGAUUGAAUGUUUCGGUGAAGAUUCCGGAUAGGACUUUUUUGAUUUAUUUCAAUUUUGUCUUAAAAGCUAUCUAAACCUCAACAUUUAGAGGAAGGUGAAGUCGUAACA
rnacentral:rRNA from 1 species